rnacentral:rRNA from 1 species
AUUGAUGUAUUCAACGAGUUUAUAGCCUUGGUCGACAGGUCCGGGUAAUCUUUGAAAUUUCAUCGUGAUGGGGAUAGAUCAUUGUAAUUGUUGGUCUUCAAC